UACGUCGGGUGCGAGCGUUACUCGGAAUUACUGGGCGUAAAGCGUGCGCAGGCGGUUCGCCAAGUCUGAUGUGAAAGCCCCGGGCUCAACCUGGGAACUGCAUUGGAAACUAACGGGCUCGAGUGUGGCAGAGGGGGGUGGAAUUCCACGUGUAGCAGUGAAAUGCGUAGAGAUGUGGAGGAACACCGAUGGCGAAGGCAGCCCCCGGGGCUAACACUGACGCUCAGGCACGAAAGCGUGGGGAGCAAACAGG
rnacentral:rRNA from 1 species